AACGCACAUUGCGCCCGCCAGCAUUCUGGCGGGCAUGCCUGUUCGAGCGUCAUUUCAACCCUCAAGCCCAGCUUGGUGUUGGGAGCUGCAGUCCUGCUGCACACCCCAAAUACAUUGGCGGUCACGUCGAGCUUCUAUAGCGUAGUAAUUUACACAUCGUUACUGGUAAUCGUCGCGGCCACGCCGUUAAACCCCAACUUCUGAAUGUUGACCUCGGAUCAGGUAGGAAUACCCGCUGAACUUAA
rnacentral:misc_RNA from 1 species